rnacentral:rRNA from 1 species
GGGUCAGUAGGUUGGUCGUGCCACCGGUACGUACUGGUCUCACUGAUUCCUCCUUCCUGAAGAACCGUAAUGCCAUUAAUUUGGUGUUGCGGGAAAACAGGACUGUUACUUUGAAAAAAUUAGAGUGUUUAAAGCAAGCUAACGCUUGAAUACAUUAGCAUGGAAUAAUGAAAUAGGACGAUCGAUCCUAUUUUGUUGGUUUCUAGGAUUGACGUA